AGGUCCACGUGAACAGCUUUCGCUUGCCACGCCGUGCACAAUAGAGGAGGGAAAAGACAAGGGGAAAAGGGGGGACGAAAAGUCAGGCACCAUCCUUGCUUUUUUUGUUUGCGUUAUCAUCCCGCACCCUCCCUUCCUGUCUCCCCUCCCUCUCCAAGUUCUGUUUUCUCCUGGUAUUUUUGUUGCUUUGGUGCGUGUGCACGUCUAGAGGAACCCGAGACACAAGUAAGUGUGAAGAGCGCGGCGCAGCGGGCACAACGUCGUCUCGAUAACCGCACUUUUUUUGUUGUCGGAGGCAGCGUAGGGGCGGAGUCCGCCAUCCCUGCUUCUCCGCCUCUCUCCACCUCUAUUCCUUUCUCUACCUUCCUUGUCACAGCUUCCUUCCUGCACACACACCCUCCCUCACCGCCUCCCCAUCACAGAGAAGAGCUUUUGCUUUGGGCCUGCGCAAAUAGAAAGACAAACAUAACCAGCGAGGCACUCUUCCUUCACCCCACCCUCCUUCACAGCCAGAACUAUAUACAAAACUCGGCGGAGAAACCAACAGCACCUUCACUUGCCCCCUUUUCCUCUUCUCACAGGUACCCGCACAAGCAUCAGCAGCCAUCUGCGCAACCUCUACCCCCAUUUCCGUUCCCCUUCACAGGAGGAACCCAAGCAGAAAACGCUUCAAGAAAGGAAGCGCCAAGGCACGACUUAGACUCGGGUGGAGGUCCUUCUUGACGUUUCUCGCGGCUCUCUAACUCCUCAGGACGGAAAGCUAAGCCGAUCACGCUUUCUCUGGUCUGUCUUACCAUUGUGUGCCUGUGCUGCGUGUGUUGCCUUUCUUCUGCUUUGUUGGCCUGUCUUCACUGUCUCUCGCUUCUCUCUUUUCUGUUUCAGGCUUCUUCUGUCGCUGCCUGAACUGGUCCCCGCUCCCUUCCUUUGCGCGUCUGCCCUCCUGUCUCGUUUCCAUCACUCUUCUUUGGUGCUCUGACUCCCUUUCCCCCUGCCGCUCCGCCACGUCGCCGCUGUUCGUUGUUUUUUUGUCCUUUUUUUUUUCGUUUCCUUCUGUGCUCUCUUUUGGUCGCAUCACAAACGUCUUUUCGUUGUUUUCUUCCCCUUCUCCUUCACUCCUUCCUUCUCACCUCUCCCUCUCGUGUUCUCUCUCCGCCCAUCUUCUGUCUUCCCUUCGCCCUCCCCUCUUUCUCUUCCGCUUGAUCUCGUUCGCUUUUCUGAUUCUCCUUUUCGUCUUUUCGGUGUGUCUGUGCAUCUGUGUUGCUUCUUACGCUGUCCGUUUUUUUUUUUGCUCUACUUCCUUGUGUUGCCUUUUCUUUGGGUGGGCGUGUGUGUCUCUGCACUUUCUGUUUGCGUUCCCUUUUGUAUAUCUCCCUAUAGCGCUUCCUUCACCUACUCCGCUGCCUUCCUCCAUUUUUAUCUUUGGCUUGGUUUUCACUUGUCUCUCCCCCUUCCCUUCUCUCCCCUCGCUUCCUCCUCUUCGCCUCUCCUUUUUCCUCUUUUUCGUUUCUCAAUUUUUUUCUCUCGUUCUUGUGCUCCCUUUAUUUUGUUUUCUACGCGUGCUCGACGGUCUCCCAGUGUCGGUGAGUUUUCCUCCCUUGUUCGUUGCGUUCUCGCGGUCUACUCUUGUAUUUGUGUGCUUUGUGCGUGUUGCCUUUUACUCCCCACCCACACCCACACCCACACACACACACCCACACACACUACCCCCUACCCUCUCCACCCUCCUCCUCUCUCGUUCUACGUUUCUGGUCUUCGUCCCUUUCUCGCGGUCUGUUUUUUUUUUUUUAGAAUCAUUUCUCUGUUCAUCGCUUUGCAUCUGUCUCUCGCUCGCUCGCUUUCUUGUGCGCGCGCGGCAUCAUUGGCAGUCACAGACACGGUCAUACACAUCCCCACCAACAAAAAAAAUAAGAACCGGUGCGCGUCUGCCGUGAUUUUGCGUUUCUGUCAGAGGUUACCGAGAACGAAAGAAAGACAACAGACAAGAUUCUCUUUCUCUUGUAUUUUUUUUUUGCUUUCUCGGGUUGGUGUCGUCGUUUAUUUCGAUCGCUUUCCACUGCUGCGGUUUGUAAUAUUGGUGCGUUUGUGUGUGCGUGUGUGUGCCUGCACUCUAUCGAUUGUUUCGCUCUUUCCUCUCCACUCUUUGCAUCUAACUCUUUUCGUCUUCUUCGUGUUGAACUUACUCACACUCGCAGAACGCAACCAAACAAGUGGCGAGGCUGUCGAAGCCAUACGGCGGUUGCCUGUGUGUGUCUCUCUCUCACACACCCUCUCUCCCUCCCAGAUUACAUAUCGUUUAUUUCUAUUUACACGCAGAUACACCGACCAUUCGAACUCUUUCGCUUUUCUCCCUCCUUCCCCUGUGAGUGCCCUCACUCCUCACCCCUCCCUCGCUCUCGCGCCCUCUUUCUUUGCCGUUUUACCUUCUUGUUGGUUCGUUUUUGCGCUGUCGUUCUAUCGUGUCUCUUUUGCGUUAUCCCCUUCUCCUCUGCCUCCCUCUUUUUUUGCUCACGGGACUUUUCGCCGACACGCUCAGUGCGCGGAAAACAAAGGCCUGAGGUGGUGAGCGCCUGUCUUUGGUAUCACAGCUUACUCAGAGAGACCUUGCUUGCGCGUGUGCGUACAUGGGUGUACGUCUUCUGCGCUUUUCUUAUUUUCACCCUUUUCGUGUAUUCACUCUUCACUCGCUUCCGUGCCUCUCCCUCGUUUGUGCGCGCGUUCACGAGGUGAUCAAACCACCUCCGGAAAGAUAAAGAAACAACCGUAAGGGGGGAGGGCGAGGGCUCUCAACAUCGCCAGCCUGCGUUACACAGACAUACAUACACGCACACACACACACACAUAUAUAUAUACUCACAUCCAUACAUACAUUUCGCUUUGUCUUUUCGGGUUGCAUUCUUCACGCGCACCCUCUACCCCCAUCAGUGCCUUGCCGCGUUACCAAAUCUACGUCUUUCUCUCUCUGUUUCUUGUAUAUACACGCACACACACAUACUCGUUGCGCUCCCUCUCCUCCUUUUCUUCGGUUUCGUCGCGCCGCUACGCUGUUUGCGCGCGCGAUCGCUGACUUUGUGCUGUUUUGUUUCUCGCUUUCGAGGUUACGCAUCCUCGUUCUUCUCUUCUGUCGCGCUGUCUGCGGCAAGCGCUGGGUGUUUGCCCCCCCCCCCACACACACACAUAUAUAUAUAUUUGUUUGUCCUCUCCCUGGUACUGUUUUCAUCCAUCCCCGCUCCACCUUUGCCUUUUUUUUUGCUUUGUGUUUCCUCAAGUCCAUCCCCCUUCCCCUCUCAACCCACGCUCAACAUCACCGUGACCGACCCUCUUACACUAAGAGAAGCACUUCUCACAGGAGAAGGCGGAAUGCAUACUCGCGGCGACAGCGAUGCACACGGUCAACCCCGCCGGCCGCUUGGCUGUGUCGAGUGCGACUUCAAAUGCAGCACUGGGAACGAGAUGAGCCGCCACAUUCACGCUACUCGACAUGGAGCGGUGAAGUGCCCCCUGUGUGACACCUACAUCGUGCCCCGCGGCUUCUUUGCAAGCCUGACAAAGCUGAUUGAGCGCCAUCGCGACCGCCAGCCGUCAGCGCCGGAAGCGAGCGUCUCACCGCCGCAUUUGUCGUCCUCUACCAGCGCGGUGGCUUCUACUUCUAGCGGAGGUGCUGGGCCUCUGACCUUGAUUGCCAUUACUCACGCCCACUGCAUCGGGCUGCCUGACUUCAAGUCUUAUGAAAAGGCAGAUUUCGAGCUACCGGGCUCAGCGCAGGACUACAGUCUCGCCGGCGACUUCGCGGGUGGCGCGCAAGGCCGAGGCACAAGCGCCGCCUUAGUCCCAUGUGAGCCAGACAACGCCGGAGGCUCCCGCACACCGUUUCGCUGCAUGGAGUGCUUGAAUCUUUGCGGCACGUGGACAAAGGCCACGAAGCACAUGGAUAAGAGUGGACACACCCUUCCCCUCUGCGUGCAGUGCUUGAUGCGUCUACGCUGCUUUGGCCCUCAGCGACCAAUAAAGCACGAGGAGAGCACCGGCCACUGUGGCUUCUACGGUGUCUUCUACACCCGCCGCGACUACCUCUGCGAGGUGCAGGCGCCGCGUAGCGUUUACAACUACAGCAACUCCUACACUGGGCUCUCCACACUCCAGUACAAGUGCGUGUGCGGCAUCUCCUUUCUCCACCCUCUGCACCUCGCGGAGCACCUGCGCCGGGUGCAUCACGCAACAUGCAUUAGGGACGAGGCUGUCUGUCGCCGCUGCGAUACACGUGGGACGCUAGCGGAUUUGAUGGUGCAUCUGCGACAGGGCUGCCCGCAGGUGACGCCGACCAUGCGAAACAACGGUAGCAGCACCACAUUCACCGACACUUCAGCCUCAUCGCUGGCAGGCAGCAAUAUGCGAUUACCGUCGAUGACGUCGCCAAAUUGCCCCACUGCACCGUCGAAAGACCAGGAGGACCAAGGUGGUGCAGGGGGAAGUGGCGGCGACAAUGCUGCAGUGACGCCGCCCGUGAUUGAGGUGCCCGGGUUCUCCGGCGCGUCGUUCCUGCAGUGGCGUCCGCUGCUGCCACCCAUGACGGCGGACGAUGUACCACUGAUGGACGAAUCCUACGCAAUGUCGGGGGACAUCAGCGGUUUUCGUGCACUUGCGUCGCAGCCGGCGUCAUCAUCAUCUCACGUGGCCACCGCCGAGGUUCGCAAGGCAUCUUACGUCGUCCUGUACCAGUGCCGUGAGUGCCUGUUUCUCUUUUCCAGCUGGGAGCGUAUGGUGCACCACAUUCACGCCACUGGGCACUGCAGUACGUACUGCUGCAAGUGCAGGUGCGACCUGCCGCAGCUGGUAAACCACCCAACGCCGCACGAGGCGAGCGGAGUGUCACGAUCUUCAACGCAGCUGCCAGCGUAUGGCGGCGCCGCCACAUCAGCGCCGCUAUUGGUUUGCUCCACCACGCUCAACGACCAUCUCGAUCAUCUACGUCGCUGCGGCGACAUCAUCGGCUUCCCCACAUCGCCGAGGAGUCUUGAGGUGCUCGUCGACGUGAACGCCGAGUGUUACCAGGGCUCUCUCGAUCCAUCACCGGACUUGUUUACGGGGGAUCGGGUCAUCAUGGCGUACCAGUGCCCGGCCGAGCAACUUGGCUGCUAUGAGGUUUUUCUGAACUACGGCAAUCUUGUAGAGCAUUUGAUGGCGACAGGGCACGGCUCGAACCCGUGCCCAGAUGACGCGGAAGGCUCCGACAACACCCUCGCAACGAGGCGACUCUCCUCCUGCUAUCCGAUGGUGGCCUAUCGGGCGAAGUUCACCGUGCUGCAGCUGCGCGAUCACUUCGGCUUCGUGCAGUGUUCCUACUGUGAAUCGGCCGUGCCGCGCGGGGAGGAGGAGCUGCACGAGGCGCUCUGCAUCAUGCGCCGCCGCAUGGGACACUAGUUCUGUUUUUCCGUGCGGGCGUAUUUGUAUGUUUAUUUCUGGAAAGAAGCAGCAGCGCACGAAGAGGCUUGCCGCAGCAGGGUGGCGAUUUCGCAGAUGCUCGGCCGCGUCAAGCUCACAAGAGGCGCAUGGGUAACAUUCGCUGAGCGAAAAUGGGGAAGCGAAACGCAAAGGCAACCUCGUAUGAGGAAAAAAGAACGAGCGGUGGCGGUGUGAGCUCAGCGGCAUCAGAGAGGGAAGGCGGAGGGGAGUCAGAAAAAGGAAGACACCGAAAAAGCGGUCAACGGCGUCUUUGGUGGCGUGCGUAUGUGCAUGUGUGGGUGUGAGUGUGGGUGAGAGAGAGACGCAUCUGUAGGCAAGUGUGGCUGUUGCAAAGGAAGCGCUCUCUGGAAGGCGGCUCUAUCAGAGGCGGUGGUGUGAAGCGGUGCUGUGAUGUCUGAGUGUGAGUGCUUCUGUUUAGCUUUCUUUUGUUAUCUGUUUCUUUGUCUGAUCCCUGAUGGUGCCGGCCACCUCAGUGCGAGGUAUCAGGGCCCCGCGCCCACUCUUUGUGGGGAGGACGAAAGUCGGCAGUCUCCCCUCGGGAACGGCUGCGGGCUCUUGGCUUCGGUGAAAAAGGUUGGGCUGGCGCUAUGCCGGACAGACUUGGGGUCAUGAUCCCGCUUGCGCUAGUCCACCACAAAUCGUGCCGACGACUCGACAAACAUAUGCUUCCGAGUACCCCUUUUCUGCUUUGGCUGCGUCGCGGUGAUGUGGAACAUGACCCAGGGCCUAGCCUGCACUGUACGCAGUCGCAUCGCGAUGGGCUGAACGACAUCAGACGGUGCCGGUCGGCCCUGUUCCUCGACAUAGCCAUGUUACAGCAUCGGCAGACGAACUGUGGUUGUGUAUGGGUCAAGUUGCUGACUGGCUUGUGGCAGAAGGCACACUUCGAAGGAAAUACAACAAAAAAAGGGUCUUUUUCUUCCUCCUUCGCUUCUUGAUCUUUUUUUCAUGUGAUGUGGUGUAAGCUCAUAGCCGACAUGGGUACCCGCGUGUGUGUGUGUGUGUGCGUGUGUAUGUGUAUGUGUGUGUGUGCGUGUACGUGAGUGUGUGCAUCCUUAUUAGUUCCUGUCCUCCGCGUGAAAGCGUUCUUGUGUGUUUGUGUGUGUGUGUGUGUCUGUGUCUUUGUUUGUUUUGCUGUCCUCUCCCUGGCGUGCGUAACUCACGAUUUCACGAUAGCCUCAUUACCGUCCACUCCCCUCUUUCUGUCACCUAAGUGCUCUGCUCUUCCUCUCUCGGGUAGCUUCCGCGUACGUGUGCCGUUGACUGUAAGUGUUUCGCUCUGUGUGUGUGCGUGUUUCUUUCCUCCUCCCCCUUCUAUUCCACUUUUAUUUUCAAGUGUGCUGGGUGUGUUCGUGCGUGCGUGUGUGUGUGUGUGUGCUGUUUCUUCUCGGGCCUUCCUUCCUUUUUUUUUCUCUUGUCUCACUGGCUUUCUUUGUUGUUGUUGCUUGUGCUAUGGUUGUCUUCUCUCCGCCAUCCCCUCAUCUCGCCCCCUCCUCCUCCUCCAUGUGUCUGCGCUUGUACUUUUUUUUUCGCGCGCGCCUGUAUGCGUGUGUGUGUGUGUCUCCCUGUGUGUGGCUUUUUUCUUGCUUGCUUAUUCUUCUCUUUAUAAUUUACGCCAUGGGUUUGUGUUCACGUUAUCGACAUUCUACACCUCGAAACGCACCUUCUCCUCUUCUCUGGAGUCUCACGUUGUACGAGAGAAUGGGGGGAGGGCAGGAGGAUGCUCACACACUUCUAUAGUUCACCCCCCCCCACCACCACCACCACCCCAUCCUCUCGACUUCUUUCUCUCCGCUGCGCCCCCGACUCUCACCGUCUUGCAUAUCGCCAUCCCUGUUACGUCCAAUCUCUCCUCUACGUCCCCCCUCUCCUCCUAGCUUCACCUUCUUGUGACAGCUCGUUGCACAUUCCUUUUCGUUUUCGAUUGCCCCUUCUUGUUUUCUCUUUGGUAGCGUCGCGAGAAAUAGGGAGAAGCGAGGCGGGGCUUUGCCUCUCUCUCUCCCUCCGUGAUGCAGACGACGGCAGACGCCCCUGAGUGUUACUGGUUUGGGCUUUCGCUGUGCAGAUGCAUGAGGAGCAGAGGAGAAGGAGGUUGUGUUCACCUAUAUGAAGGAAGUGAUCGGCCGCCUUCCCUUUUCCUUGCUGCGAGUGUGUAUGUUUUUUUUUUUUUACCCUCGUACUCUCACGUUGACGAUGAUCCUGUUUGUGGCGCUGCUCGACACUGUUGUGGACAGUGGCGGUGUGCGACUGCCGGUGGCAAGUGGGGAAGGGAGGGAGGGAGGGGCAAGAAAGAGGAGAGAAAGUCCAUUUUUUGAUGUGUUCGCGCUUUUUUUCGGCUGGUGUUGUUUCUCUUCCGCUGUGCUGUCUCAGAUCUGUCGUGUGCACUUUUUUCUUUCUCUUAGAGGAGGGUAGGAGGGUUUGUGUGAAUGCGUUACUGAGCAGGUGUGUGCGUGGGGGGGGGGGAACUUGUGCGCCGUCUUUCCGUUAGUUUGUCUCCUUUUCCUUUUGUUGUUUUUGCAGCUUUUUCGUCUUUUGUCGUUGCUCGUUUUCGUCCUCUUUUAUCGUUUUUUUCUCUUCCUUGCUUCUUCUGUCACUCCUGCCCCCUCCCCUCUCUCCUCUCCUCUCCUCUGUGUUUUCCCCUUCUUUCGGGUUUUUUUACCCUUUCUUUCUUCUUUUGUUUUUUUUCGUUGCUCCUCGCCAAACCACAUACGGCAACCUCCCAAAGAUUUCGCUCUUCGCUUCCCUUUUUCUUGUUGUUCCGCACCUGUCUGUGUGUGUGUGUGGUGGGUUUCAUCUCGCUCUUUUGUGCCCCAUAUGCUUGUGUCUUGAUUUGGCUGCUUCUCAUUCCCCUCUUCACCGCCGUCUUUUUUUUUUCUGUCUUGUCCUUUGCUUACUUCCACAAACUGUCGCCCCUUCCUCUACCCUUCCUCUCUCUUCCUCUCCGUGCCUUGCCCUCUCGCCCUUCUUUCCCAGCCUCCCUUUCCUCCACCUGUUUGUCCGCGCGUCUUCUGCUCGCUGUGUGUGUGUGUGUGUGUGUGUCUUUCUCUCUACGCGCUAUUUGCCCCGCGCGCUACAUUGCUUCUGGAUGCCGGUCGUCGUUUCUCUGUCGUGCUGUGCCAGGGGAGUGAAGGGACGCUUUCUCUUUUCACCUCUGCGUGGUCGCAUGUUUGGCCUUUUCUUCUGCCAAAGUUCUCCAUAGGCGGCAGAGGAGGGGAGAGAGGAAAGUCGGAGGGAAACGGUCACCAGUGCGCGUACACGUAGGCACCCUCAUUUGCCUUUGUUGGUGUGUUCUCUCUCUCUCUGCCGCGGUCGAUUUCAACUUAGCACUUCCUUUUUCAUUCCUCUCCCUCUGCGCGCGCCCUCUCUCGUCGUCUCGUCUACCUCUUUUGUUGUUGCCGAUGUUCUCAUUCACCCUCCCUCCCUUAACCUCCGCUGUAGACGCGAUGAUGCCCCAAUUCUUUGUCUUACUGAGUGGGCGUGUUUUUUAUUUUAUUAUUGUUAUUUAGUGUGUGUAUCACAGAGGGGUUUCUGCGGGCUUGCCGGUUUCAGAAGAACAAGAAAGCCCGUCUUUCGCCUCCCCUAUUCCUCUUUCUGUCCCCCUCUCCGAGCACGCUAUCACCGCUUUUCCAUCUUUUCCUUUAUUUUCGAGCCAUGACGCCCACACGGCUGAGGUAUAUGUAGAUGAGAAACGGAUACGCACAGACAGCCUCCCACGAUGCUCGGCAUCUACCUUUGCUUUUUCUUCAUGGCCACCACGCUAGCCAUGAACCUUUCUGUGGGCUUCAGCACGUCGCAGAGCACGAAGAUGCUCACACAGAUUGCUCUUUUUUUUUACUCGCCUCCUGCUUGCGCUGGUAUUGCUUUUCGGAAUAGGCAUAUCGCCUAUCAACUUGUUUUGUCCAUCUGACGCCUUCACAGACUCGUUCUCCAGCCCUCCCUGCAUUCCCUGCGAUUUCGCCCUAUGACAUCAUUGGCCAUGUUGCCCAUUUUUCCUGCUCUCUCUCUCGCCUUAUUGCGAUCUGCUCCUACGCAGGUGGGCGGGGGUGAUAGUGUUCACUGACGCUUGUCUGCGUGUGCCCGCGCUACGUGGCGCUAGCUCUCUUUUUUUUUUGCUUCGCUGUGCUCAUGUUACGUUCUUCUUGCCUGAACUUCCGUUUCUCACCGCCUUCUUCACCACUACCAUCAUGCGCAAGUGCCUGCCUGAGUUUGUGCGCACCCUCUUCUCUGUCUGUUUCUGUGCCCAUGCCACGAGAGGUCGGCGCACACGCACACGCAGACGUCUUCACUGACUAUGUUGUCCCUCCUUCGUUAACUUUUACUUCGAUUUUCACAUCAUGCUACGUCUGUCUCUUCACUUCAUGUGUUCCUCCCAAAGUUGCGUUGUUUCUCUCACACACACACACACACACUUUCCGUCUUCUCCGCGCGGUCUGCUUCGGCUGUACGAGUUGUGUAGCCUCUCGUGAUGGAGCCUUCUCUCUCCUCGUCGUUAGCGCCUACACGCUCGCGCUUGCCUUCACCACUUGAGUUCCUUCUUCGCUUCUUCUUCGACUGAUAUACCAUCUUCCUUUUUGUGUGUGUGUGUGCGCGCGCGUGCCUCGAGCCCCGUUGAUUGCUGUCGACUUUCUCCAUGUCCUCUCUUCUCCCUUUCCUCCUUUUCGCGUGCUCUUGUUUUUUUUUGUCGUGUGUGCGUGUGUGUGCUCACUGGGGAUAAAAAAGUUUCUUUGUUCGUGUUUCUGUCUUUGCUCUUCUCAUAUGCGCACGUGUCUGUGGAUUUCCACGCAUGUGCAGGAAGAGCGGGCGAUGACCCAACGGUUCAUCUUCAGCGCGGCGUACAGAAGGGGAAAAUACGAAGCAGCGGCUGCUGCGCGCUCAUCCAGACUUUGUCUACACAUGGAGAAAAAAAAAUGAUUGCCUGUGAGCGUGUGCAACCACCUGUAAGUACGUCGGCGUAGGCGUUUUCUGUGACUGUGUGAGCGCGUGCACCCAGCUUGGAUAGCCCUCAUCUCCGUUUGUUCCUCUUCCUUUGUUUCCUGUGUGUGCGCGCUCACACAGGUGAGCGUCUUUCCGCGCGUUGUGUUUGCAUGUGCGUGCGUGGGUGCCGUUUUGUGCGCAUAUCUGCACCGGUGGAAUGAACGUCUUUUUUUGUUCGAUCGUUUUUCCGGUUUCCUUCCUCUUGCCUUGUCGACUCAGUUCUCUCUCGAAUUUUCCGCCUCUCCUAUCUCUACACCCCCUAAGCGGCUCUUUCCUUUCAUUUUAUUUUCUCAUUUUGGUGCCCUCAUCACCGCACGUGGAAGCCGCUCUUUUCUUUCUUUUUGUCACACUUGUCUGCACCCCCACCCGCUCAUGACGUGCGGGGAUGGGGAGGAGCCACUUCAGCGUGGCAUCUCAGGACACAGGGGGGGGCGCUCGCUCUCUCUCUCUGUGUGCGGAGGAGCGAAGCAGCCCCCCACCGCCCACCCUCUUCGCUAUCCCUGCCAAUGCGAGGCCACUUCUGGUGGUGGCAAGCUCAAACGCGCCGUCAUGAUGUGUCGGAGGCGCCAGAGCGAUGCGUCGCUGCUGACGCCGGCGGCCAGGUCCCGGAGUGGGGCGGUGUCGGUGCGACCUGCGACCGUGAACACGUCUGUGCCGCCCACAUCGAUGGGCAAAGCGCCAGCGGGAGUCGAGCGAAUCCCACCCAACCCUCACACCGCCCACUGCGGGGGGGGGCCGAGGUGUCGCCCCGCGAGGGGUGCACCGCAGGGGUGGCGGCCGGCAUAACGGGCUGGCUGUGAGGCGGCCUGCACAGCGGCGGGUAGUGCGUAGAGUGCGAGCGCGGUGCCGGGUGGAGAGAAGCUUGGCUCAUGUCGUGCGGCAGAGAACGAACACGUUGGAAAAACAAAAUGUGUAGUUUUUCCGGCAUCGACCUCCCUCCUCCUCUUCAUUUUUUCUUUGCUUUUUAGCGGGUGUUGUGAGGGUCCUCGUCCGGUCAUCAGGAUCCACCAGACCUGAGUGAAUCCAUCCCGCACGCUUCUGCUCGUCCCUACUGGACAGUGUGGCUAACCCGCCCUCUCUCUCUGCGUUCAUCUCUUACGCUUUUACUAAUUUACGAAAGGGUUGGGGAGAAGGCGAGCUGCGCUAUCUUCGCCCCUCCCUUCCCCACAACCAGCUUUCUGCGUUCCCCCACCCCACCCACCCACAGAGCUACUUACAUGCCGCUAGGCAGUCAAACAGAAUGCGCCGUGCGCGUGCAUAUCGCCGGUUCGCCGUCUCUCGAUCGCGCUCGGUCCCUUUCUCUCUUCCUCCCUCUCUCUCUCCCUCCCUCCCUCCCUCGCUCUCUCUCUUCCCCUACAUGCACAGGGCUAGUGUUUUCUCGUGUUCUUCGUCAUUCCCUGUUUGCCUUAUUUCGGUGUUAUUUUUCUUUUGCCUUUAACAUCUGGACGGGACCGCUUCGCUUGCUUCUUCUCCCUCCCGCCCGCCCAUCUCUCUCUAUACUCUGCAACAACACCGCUUGCUUACCUAUCUUCCAUCUCUUUUUGUGCGGUUGUGUUCGCCCGCCAUGCUUCUCUUUAUUUUCCCAUCUUCUUCCUGCAAUACACCGGAGAGGUGCAGAGCCGAAAAAGACAAUCAGCAGCGCGUCAUCUCUUUCAGCUCUGUGCUGCGUGGUAUUGCGCUCUCGCUCUAUGUUUUGUGUUUCCUUUCGAGCACUGAACUUCUCCACCCACGCCACCCACCCCUCUUUCUUGCAUGCACAUAUACGCACACACACACAUGCAGAACCCAUACAUGCAAGAGAAAAAGAAACAUGCAGGCCUUCACUGGACAGAUGGCGAAGUAUGGCUAGUCGUUUCUUUCUUUUCCGGCGUUUCUCGUUGUCUGCACUCACGUUCUUUCGUGUGUGCGCGCGCCAAAGAGGCGGUCGCACAAGACGGUGGGGGAGAGAGAGACAGCGGCAGUACUGCAGAGGACUCCGCACGUAUUCUUGUCUGCGUACGAUCCCUGCGUGAGUGGCAUCAGAGUGAACUUGGUGCUGAGCGCCGUGCGCACGCACUAUCUGCCCCUUCCCAUCCCCCUUUCCCCGCACCCACCUACUGCUCGCCACUCUCCUUCUCUUGCAGCCGUUUUCUUGAAGUACCUGUCUUUGGAUGUUGGGCUUUUUUGUCUCGCUCGCUCACACCUCUCCUCUUCACAUGCGCAUACAAUCUUUUUUUUUCUAAGUCUUACUGUGCUUCGGCGUCUCUUAUUUAUUUUUCGUUCUCCUUUUCCGUGCAUGACGCAUCUGCCGUCUUCUUUGGCCCGCUACCUCCCUCUUCCCCCCUCCCUCUCGCCUUCUUUUCUUUUGUGUCGUCGUUUCGGCGGCAGCGAAGGGGGGAGACGAUGGGUUAAGCACCGUGCACCGGCACAGUUGUGUCGGCGUGUGUGCGUGCGUGCGUGCGUGUGUCUUAGCGCGCCUGACUUCAUGUAAGUUUGAAGGGUGACGAAACGAAGCGAGGUGAUUUCUGGCAACGCUGAGCUCAUCCGUUUCCAUCUUUGUACGACAGGCCCGCACGCACACACACACACACACACACACAUGCGCGAGCAGCAUGAACAUACAGCCAAGAAAGAGUUGCCCGGAAGAGCAGUACGACAGUAACGCAACCAGAGCAGAAGUUUGUUUGUUUUUUAUUAUUUCCUCACAUCACCCUCCCCCAUUUUCUCUCCUCAUCGUUCAUAUUUUAUGCUCAAUGUGUUCACCCUCCCCCUUUUCCGUCUCUAUCUUUCUAUUCUGUUGGUGUUUUUACGUUCUCUUGUGUUUCCUGCGUUAUCUAUAGUGCUCCUCCUCUUUUUUAACGUCUUGUAUGCUGAUCCUCCUACUCCCCUCUUCCAUUACCACUUGCCCACUGUUUGCCUCUCUCGUACACCUCUUUCCACGAGUCUCCUCCUCUCUGCACUCUAUGCUUGUUAUUUCUGUUGUUCUUGUGUAUGCAUAUGUGUAUGUAUGUAUUGUGUUUAUGCGAGACGGGCCUCCCUCCCCUCCCUCAUUACCCCAUCCCACAUAUUUUGCAUCCUUUUCCCUCUCCGACACUCACUCGCUCUCUUCGUUUCUCUUUUUUUUUUCUUAUUUUCUUGUGUUCUGUGGUGAUUGUGUUCGUGUUCUCGUUUCCCCCUCCCCUUUCCACCCUUCGUCCUUGUCUGCAUGUGCCUGUGCUGUGCGAUUUCUCUUCUCCGCUCCGUUCCUCCUCUCUAUUUCUGGGGCUCUUUAUUCCCACCUCCCUCCUCUCUCUCUAACCCCCCCCGGUGUCUCUCUCCCUCUCGACUUCGCUGUUUUACACGUUUUUGCUAUUUGCCUUUUCCUCUCCUUCAUCCUUCCUCUACUCCCUCUCCUCCCCACUCUCUACCCCCCAAACCUCCCUGUCCCCUACCUUUCACCUCGUUCUUGCUUUCAUGUGUUUACCCCCACAAGCACUACAUCUCUGCGCUCCCCUCUCCCCUCUUCUCUCCGGUAAGUUUGUGUGUACGUGCGUGUGCACUGCUGCGUUCUUUACCUCUCCCUCCCCUCACCCCCGGGUCAUCUUCCACAGACUUUGGUCUUCUUCCUCGCAUUUGUAUUGGCGUCUCGUACCUCCCGCUGAGUUGUUUUCCUUCGUCUCUUCCUCCUACGCUCUAACAGUCACUCAUUGGGUUGUUUUCUUCGCUUCCUGUCUGUUUCUUCCAUUGUUUUCGUCUGCGUGUCUGUUAGGGUGCUUUUGUGCGUGCGUAUGCGUGUGUGUGUGCGUGUGCAUGUGUGUCCCCCCGCGUGGGCGCGUGCGGACCGUUCGUGCCCAUCUCGAAUUUGGGUGGAUGCCCGUUCGCCGUCCACGCGGGUACGGCGUGCGUGCGUGCGUGCGUGCGUGCGUUUUUGUCUUUGUUAGUCUGCGUGUUUUCGUUGAAGUCGUAAUUACUUCACAGGCGACGUAUGCUUGGUAAUGAUGAGGCGCGGUAAGAGCAGCAGUUG
rnacentral:misc_RNA from 1 species